rnacentral:rRNA from 1 species
UCCCUUCUCUCUCUAAAGUGGACUUCGGUCCACGAGUAGAGCGGCGAACGGGUGAGUAACGCGUGGGUGAUCUGCCUUCGAGUGGGGAAUAACACCGGGAAACUGGUGCUAAUACCGCAUGACAUCUUCGAUUCGUUUCGGAGAUCAAAGCUGGGGACCGUAAGGCCUGGCGCUUGAAGAGGAGCCCGCGUCCGAUUAGCUAGUUGGCGGGGUAAUGGCCCACCAAGGCUUCUAUCGGUAGCCGGCCUGAGAGGGCGGAC